AAUAUAUAUAUAUAUAUAUAUAUAAAAACAUAAUAAAAUUAAAACAGAACAUAAUCUGAGACUCAUGAGAACUUGAGAGCUGAAGGUAUAACUGGAGGCUGAAUAGAGAACAAAAUGGGAACAGUAGCUCACAGAAAUAAAACAGAAAACCAGUCAGAAAGCAGCAGGGAAGAUGUUGCUUAAUUACUUAAUGCAUCAGUGACUGGUUAAACUGUAUUCACCGUUACCGAC